rnacentral:rRNA from 1 species
GAUGAACGCUGGCGGCGUGCCUAAUACAUGCAAGUCGAGCGAACGGACGAGAAGCUUGCUUCUCUGAUGUUAGCGGCGGACGGGUGAGUAACACGUGGAUAACCUACCUAUAAGACUGGGAUAACUUCGGGAAACCGGGGCUAAUACCGGAUAAUAUUUUGAACCGCAUGGUUCAAAAGUGAAAGACGGUCUUGCUGUCACUUAUAGAUGGAUCCGCGCUGCAUUAGCUAGUUGGUAAGGUAACGGCUUACCAAGGCAACGAUGCAUAGCCGACCUGAGAGGGUGAUCGGCCACACUGGAACUGAGACCCGGUCCAGACUCCUACGGGAGGCAGCAGUAGGGAAUCUUCCGCAAUGGGCGAAAGCCUGACGGAGCAACGCCGCGUGAGUGAUGAAGGUCUUCGGAUCGUAAAACUCUGUUAUUAGGGAAGAACAUAUGUGUAAGUAACUGUGCACAUCUUGACGGUACCUAAUCAGAAAGCCACGGCUAACUACGU